rnacentral:misc_RNA from 1 species
GAUGAAGAACGUAGCGAAAUGCGAUACUUGGUGUGAAUUGCAGAAUCCCGUGAACCAUCGAGUCUUUGAACGCAAGUUGCGCCCGAAGCCAUUAGGCCGAGGGCACGCCUGCCUGGGCGUCACACGUCGUUGCCCCCCCAUCUACUCCUUCGGGAUUGCGGGGGGCGGAUGAUAGCCUCCCGUGCGCCUCGCCGCGCGGUUGGCAUAAAUGCCAAGUCCUCGGCGACGCACGCCACGACAAUCGGUGGUUGCGAAACCUCGGUUGCCCGUCGUGUGCGGUCGUCGCGCAUCGAGGGCUCGAAAAAAUUGCCGGGUUCCGGCUCGGCUUUCAACGCGACCCCAGGUCAGGCGGGGUUACCCGCUGAAUUUAAGCAUAUCAAUAAGCGGAGG